rnacentral:rRNA from 1 species
UGUAAAGUUCAAGCUCCGAUUGUGAGGGCGAAACCGCGAAUGGCUCAUUAAAUCAGUCAUAAUCUACUUGAUUGUUUAAAGUUUAUAUGGAUAACUGUGGUAAUUCUAGAGCUAAUACAUGCGUGAAAGGGGCAACUCCGAGAGGAGAAGUUCUGCGUUUAUUAGACUAAGACCGGCGUGUCGCUUGCCUCCGGGCGGGCGGCUCUCGCUUUAAGUGGUGACUCUGAGUAAAUAAUGGGUUUAAGCCCAUGUUGCCGACCUGGCAUUUGUAAACGGCUCGUCGCAAGACAGUCGGCCAGGCGAAUCAAUCGAGUGUCUGCUCUAUCAACUGUGGAUGGUAGGGUAAUUGCCUACCAUGGUGGUGACGGGUAACGGGGAGUUAGGGCUCGACUCCGGAGAACAAGCCUGAGAAACGGCUAGUAGGACUAAGGUCUGCAGCAGGCGCGAAACUUACACAAUGCUAGAUUUCAUAUAACUUAGCGAUGUAGUGAAGAAAAAUAACGAUGUACUUGUAUUUAUACAUACUUGUACAAUUGGAAUGAGACGACUUUAAAUCAGUCAGUCGAGUAACAAAUGGAGGGCAAGUCUGGUGCCAGCAGCCGCGGUAAUUCCAGCUCCAUUAGCAUACAUUAAAGUUGUUGCGGUUAAAAAGCUCGUAGUUGAAUUUUUAGCGGGCUCUUGUGGGAUGCGGCCGUUAAAGGCUCUUGGGCGCGUAAGCUUCGGCUUUGCCCCUCUAGCUGGCCGUCCUUCUCACCUGGAACCCGUUGUUUCGUCACUUAAUCGAGUGCGAAGCGGGCUGGUGUAUACCAGCGCACAAGUCUCCGGACUUCGUGCGCCAUACAACAGCAUGUUUACCUUGAGAAAAUUAGAGUGCUCAGAGCAGGCAGUUGGGAUGUAAAAGUCUCUUUAUGCUUGAAUAAUGUUGCAUGGAAUAAUAGAAUACGGCCUCGGUUCUAUUCUGUUGGUCUUAUAGAACAACAAAUAAGUUGAUUUAGGCGUCAAACGGCCCUCUACUGGCGUGGUUCACUCUUGUCUCGUGUUGUCUGGGGCCUAAAAAUCUCAGUACCGCAGCAAGUUGGGCCAUCUAAGCGCCGUUAGUCGGGUUAGCUUUCAAAUCAACUGAGGCAAUGGUUAAAAGAAAUAGUCGCGGCGGCAUCAGUACUGCAUCGUGAGAGGUGAAAUUCUUAGACCGAUGCAAGACUAACUGAAGCGAAAGCGUUUGCCGAGGAUAUUUUCAUUAAUCAAGAACGAAAGUUAGAGGUUCGAAGGCGAUCAGAUACCGCCCUAGUUCUAACCAUAAACGUUGCCAACUAGCAAUUGGAUUGCGAUUCCUUUAGUUGGAGCCUAAAAAACUCCAACCAUUAUGAUCCAUCCAGCGGCUCUCGUAGGGAAACCAAAGUGUUUGGGUUCCGGGGGAAGUAUGAUUGCAAAGUUGAAACUUAAAGGAAUUGACGGAAGGGCACCACCAGGAGUGGAGCCUGCGGCUUAAUUUGACUCAACACGGGGAAACUUACUAGAUUAAAACUCUGGAAUGAUUGACAGAUUGAUAGCUCUUUCUUGAUUCAGAGGAUGGUGGUGCAUGGCCGUUCUUGAUUCGUAUUCCGAAACGUCUGCCUAAUCGCGAUAACGAGUGAGACCGCUGAUUGCACUUUGACUGCGUUGGUGCGCUGUUGGAACGCAAAAAUCUGCUUGGGUUCUCGCUUGUAGGCGGCCUCACGGUUGUUUGCAAGCUCCCCUUGUGGAUGUUCUCUGCUCGCCACCAGUAAAACUGCAUGAAUUGCGCUGACAAAGCGCCCUAAUGCGGCAAUAACAGGUCUGUGAUGCCCUUAGAUAUUCUAGGCCGCACGCGUGCUACAAUGGCAUGUGCAAAAAGCUUGUUCGAGGUCCGGGCGCCGGAGAACUAGUCGUUAGGCUGUAGGUUGGGCAACUGACUUGCAGUCGGCGGCCAAGUGACCGGCGCAUUGUGCCGAGAGAAACCGCAGCCGAGAGGUUGUGGCAAUCAUAAAUACAUGCCGUGAUUUGGGAUUGGGGAUUGCAAUUGUUGCCCAUGAACGAGGAAUUCCCAGUAAGCGCGAUUCAUCAUAUCGUGCUGAUUACGUCCCUGCCCUUUGUACACACCGCCCGUCGCUACUACCGAUUGGAAGUUUUAGUGAGGCAUCUGGACUUGCUGGCCAGGGAGGGGCAACCCUAACGGGCUUGGCGGGGAAGUUUGUCGAACUCAAAUUUCUAGAGGAAGUAAAAGUCGUAACAAGGUUUCCGU